rnacentral:rRNA from 1 species
GAGCGGCAGCGCGGGGCAACCUGGCGGCGAGCGGCGAACGGGUGAGUAAUACAUCGGAACGUACCCAGUUGUGGGGGAUAGCCCGGCGAAAGCCGGAUUAAUACCGCAUACGACCUGAGGGUGAAAGGGGGGGAUCGCAAGACCUCUCGCAGUUGGAGCGGCCGAUGGCGGAUUAGCUAGUUGGUAGGGUAAAGGCCUACCAAGGCGACGAUCCGUAGCUGGUCUGAGAGGACGACCAGCCACACUGGAACUGAGACACGGUCCAGACUCCUACGGGAGGCAGCAGUGGGGAAUUUUGGACAAUGGGGGCAACCCUGAUCCAGCCAUUCCGCGUGAGUGAAGAAGGCCUUCGGGUUGUAAAGCUCUUUCGGCAGGAACGAAACGGUGUCCCCUAAUACGGGAUGCUAAUGACGGUACCUGAAGAAGAAGCACCGGCUAACUACGUGCCAGCAGCCGCGGUAAUACGUAGGGUGCGAGCGUUAAUCGGAAUUACUGGGCGUAAAGCGUGCGCAGGCGGUUAUGUAAGACAGAUGUGAAAUCCCCGGGCUUAACCUGGGAACUGCGUUUGUGACUGCAUAACUCGAGUGUGGCAGAGGGGGGUGGAAUUCCACGUGUAGCAGUGAAAUGCGUAGAGAUGUGGAGGAACACCGAUGGCGAAGGCAGCCCCCUGGGUCAACACUGACGCUCAUGCACGAAAGCGUGGGGAGCAAACAGGAUUAGAUACCC